UACGUAGGGGGCAAGCGUUGUCCGGAUUUAUUGGGCGUAAAGAGCUUGUAGGUGGUUUGUCGCGUUGUUCGUGAAAUCUCACGGCUCAACUGUGAGCGUGCGGGCGAUACGGGCAGACUAGAGUACUGCAGGGGAGACUGGAAUUCCUGGUGUAGCGGUGGAAUGCGCAGAUAUCAGGAGGAACACCGGUGGCGAAGGCGGGUCUCUGGGCAGUAACUGACGCUGAGAAGCGAAAGCGUGGGGAGCGAACAGG
rnacentral:rRNA from 1 species